rnacentral:SRP_RNA from 2 species
GCUGGGCACGGUGGCUCAUGCCUGUAAUCCCAGCACUUUGGGAGGCUGAGGCAGGAGGAUCACCGGAGGUCAGGAGUUCCAGACCAGCCUGACCGACACGGUGAAACCCCGUCUCUA